AUAAAGCAGAUAUUUACAUUUCCACUGGGCAACGCACCGCAGGCCCCACCAAAGAGAAACAAACAGUCCCAGAGGCCCGCGCCAGAGAGUUCCUCUCCCCGCCCAGGACCCCUCUUUCCUCUUCUUGGGUCCCCCAGGAACUGGUGACGCUAGAGCCCCCGCCCUUACCCCGCCCAGUACCUGGUGUGAGCAAAACCCCUUCUCCACCCAUUCCUGGCUCCAUCUUUGGUGAUUCAGAGCCCUGGUCCCGCCCAAGGCACUAAUUUAACUCGGGCUGCGUAACUACCAGGAGCUUCUUCUCUAUCGAGCCUCUUGGCCCGGUUCAUUUCGUCUUAAUCGCGGAGGUCGCAGAGUCCGGGAGCCGCUCGGGGUCCCCGUUCCCGCGCGCCAUGAGUCCCCUGCCGCGGAGCGCCCCCGCGGUGAGGCGCCUAAUGGGCGGACAGACGCCGCCGCCGCUGCUGCUGCUGCUGCUGCUGCUGUGUAUCCCGGCUGCGCAGGGUGACUGCAGCCUUCCACCCGAUGUACCUAAUGCCCAACCAGAUUUGCGAGGUCUUGCAAGUUUUCCUGAACAAACCACAAUAACAUACAAAUGUAACAAAGGCUUUGUCAAAGUUCCUGGCAUGGCAGACUCAGUGCUCUGUCUUAAUGAUAAAUGGUCAGAAGUUGCAGAAUUUUGUAAUCGUAGCUGUGAUGUUCCAACCAGGCUACAUUUUGCAUCUCUUAAAAAGUCUUACAGCAAACAGAAUUAUUUCCCAGAGGGUUUCACCGUGGAAUAUGAGUGCCGUAAGGGCUAUAAAAGGGAUCUUACUCUAUCAGAAAAACUAACUUGCCUUCAGAAUUUUACGUGGUCCAAACCUGAUGAAUUUUGCAAAAAAAAACAAUGUCCGACUCCUGGAGAACUAAAAAAUGGUCAUGUCAAUAUAACAACUGACUUGUUAUUUGGCGCAUCCAUCUUUUUCUCAUGUAACGCAGGGUACAGACUAGUUGGUGCAACUUCUAGUUACUGUUUUGCCAUAGCAAAUGAUGUUGAGUGGAGUGAUCCAUUGCCAGAAUGCCAAGAAAUUUCUCCAACUGUCAAAGCCAUACCAGCUGUUGAGAAACCCAUCACAGUAAAUUUUCCAGGUACCAAAGCCCUAUCAUCUCCUCAGAAACCCUCCACAGCAAAUACUCUAGCUACAGAGUUACUACCAACUCCUCAGGAACCCACCACAGUAAAUGUUCCAGAUAGUAAAGCCAUAUCAUCUCCUCAGAAACCCUCCACAGUAAAUACUCCAGCUACAGACUUACUACCAACUCCUCAGGAACCCACCACAGUAAAUGUUCCAGAUAGUAAAGCCAUAUCAUCUCCUCAGAAACCCUCCACAGUAAAUACUCCAGCUACAGACUUACUACCAACUCCUCAGGAACCCACCACAGUAAAUGUUCCAGAUAGUAAAGCCAUAUCAUCUCCUCAGAAACCCUCCACAGUAAAUACUCCAGCUACAGACUUACUACCAACUCCUCAGGAACCCACCACAGUAAAUGUUCCAGAUAGUAAAGCCAUAUCAUCUCCUCAGAAACCCUCCACAGUAAAUACUCCAGCUACAGACUUACUACCAACUCCUCAGGAACCCACCACAGUAAAUGUUCCAGCUCCAGAAGUCCCAUCAACUUCUCAGAAACCUUCCACAGCAAAUGAUUCUGCCACACGAGCCCCCAGUUCCCCCAUAUCAAACACUCUCUCUACAGCAGCCCAGAAUCCCAUCAUGGCAAAUGCUUCUGCACCACAGGCCACAUCAACAACCCAAAGAUUCACCACAGCAAAAGCUUCACUGACACAGACUCUUCGAGAAACAGGAAAGUCCACUCCUGUACAUACCUCAAAAACUAAAGGUCUACAGCAAAGAUUGACUUCUGCUCAUGUUACAGCAACAAAGUAUCCAGCUAUUCCCAGGGCCACAACGAGUUUUCAUUCAAGUACAUCUAAAAAUCGAGGAAACCCUUCUUCAGGCAUGAGAAUCAUGUCGUCUGGUAAGUUUGGCUCUCCGGCAGUUAAAAGAAAUUGUCUUCUCUGUAGGAAGUACCAUCCAUAUUCCUGGAAAAGAAUAUUGCUUUUUAACUGUCUUAGGAAUACUAUUAAAAUGCAUUGUUUAUGGGUGCCAAAGAGAAAAUGGAUAAAUGCCUUGUAUCGACGUGUUUUGUGGACACCAUUUGGUACUCGGUAUGUGGUAUGUUCCUAAGUAUUCCCAACCAUGUUCUUCUUCCAAGGUAAUUCUAGGAAACUUCACUUGGCCAAUCAGUCAAGUAUUAUUGCAUGCCUUUUGUCGCAAUAGAUCAUUCUGGUGGCUGAAGUUUCUACUCUGAAGUAUUUUAUAAUUAAUCAUAAACUACUCCUUGACCAUUUCUAGAUUUCUGUGCUAUUCCAGGUAAAACAAAGGGCACUACUUUUGAUUAUAUCCUCUUCCUUUAGCCUCCCCUGUCAGUGGUUUAAAUUUAUCUUGAAAAAAUAUUCCAUCGCUGUCAACAUACCUGUGUUGCAAUUCCUUCUAGCAUUUGACGCAGUCCUUUUUUGUUCGUAAAUACAUUAUUUGAUGUUAUGCAUUAACGAGAAGAUUAAUAAACCCCUAAAGUAGAAUGGUAAAAGAAAUGUUUGUUAAGAAGCAAUACAGCUAACGCGGCAUGUUGAUAAGUAAUGUCUAAUAGAAAAUACACUUAUAAAAAGUGUAUAUGUUCGACUUAUGUAUUUAUAAGCGGAAGCCUCCUAUCGUAUGCAUGUAUGAAUAUAAAACUGAAAGCAGGUACUUGUUUUUUAUUUUUAUUAUUUUUUAUUAUAGUUUUUAUAUUUUAAAUGAACCUCUUUUAAGUUAAAAGAUUUAUCUUGAAAGAUUCCAAUAGUUGGAGUUCACUUUGUUCAUUCUACAUUUUAAAUAAAAAUAAAUGUAUUCUAAAUGAAAACCUCAUGAGUUAAUGUUUUAAUGUUAACGACAGUGAUGAAUUUAAUAGAGGAGCUUUUUCUUAUCACCUCAGUGGCAUUCAGUGAAGGCUUGAGGUGUUUAUUAUAUUUUUCUGAAGUUCUUUAAGUGUAUAGCAUGCAGAAACCUUCCCUUAGGGUGAAUUGUAAUUCCAACUUGUGCUCAGAAAUGAAGAGGAAUUCCUUCCUUCUUAAAGCAGACAUAUGGCAGUAUUUUUCUUUGGGAUCCUAUAUUUGUAGAAUAUAAACCUGAAAAUUAUAUUCUUCUUUUCUUAAAUUUAUUCUAUGAAUGAGGUCACUUUUCUCAUUUUAAAGAUAAACUUUACUGCAAGGAAAUUGUUUUUACCGGUUACACUAAGUGCACAUGAGUGAUAAAAAUGAUAUUAGGACUUUGCAAGUACAAAGUUUUAUCCUUUUUAAUUCUGCUAAGAAAUAGAGUGUGAUCUUCUCAGAACUUUCUUACCUGCUAUGGAAGUAAAGCCUGCAGUGUGAAUUUCAAAGCUAGUCUCUGCUGGCUCUGUAUCAGUGUUUUUAAUUUUUUUUUUUUAAUUAGUGCCCUCUCCCUCUCAAGGAGCUUUUUAGGUAUGUUUUCCUAAUUAGCCCUAUGAAAUAGGAAUACUACAGCUACAUUGUGAAUAUAUUUAUGUAUUUGUAUACACAUUGGUACUUUAUGCAUAAAAAAGAAAUAUUUUUUUUUCACCCUUCUGGGAUGAGAGUUUUCUCCACUGAGAAUACCCAUACACAACGCCAUAUAGUUGUGGGUUUUUGUUUUUGUGUUUGUUGACAGCAUUGCAUAGAAAGAAGGCUUGUGCUUUGGAGUCCGUCAGACUUUGGUUUUGAAUCCUGGCUUUUUGUUUGUUUGUUUAGUAAUUAUUCAACCCAAGUGAUUCACUUUCUCUCUCUGAGUCCCAAUUUUCUCAUUUAUAAGAUAGAGUCAUGAUUCCAGGGUAAAAUCUUAGAAGCUUAAUGAGAUAAUGUGUAUGAAAACUGCUAGCACAGGGCUAAAAACUGAAUAAAUGUUAGCUUUAAGAAUUCAUAGAAUACAGUCACUAUUAUUGUCCUAACAUGGAUUUCUGACACUUUUUAUCAUUUCCUCUGUCUACACACUAAAGAAGAAGAAUUCUUUAUUAGGGUAAUAUUUGUGCAUUUGCUGUAUGACAAGUACUGUACUGAAAUUUCUCUAUGUAUUAUUUCAUUUACUUCUCACAACAGUCCUAUAAUGUAGCUAUGCCCUACUUUUUAGCUGAGAGAUCUGUGGUUUUCCAAUAUUCUUAACUUGCUCAAGGUCACACAGCUUCUAGGUGCUUAAACAGAAGCAGUAACAGCAGAUGUUGCAGAUUCUGACUUGGGUUGUUGGGAAAUGAAGACCAUACUCUAUAUAUUAAUUUAAUGCCCACCUAAUGUAAAUUCUGUUUGAGUAAUCAUCAGUAUUCUUCUUGAGAAUAUUAUGAACAGUUAAAAUCAUGACCUGAACUUGGGGUUAAAAAUAGCUUUUCUCUGGUAAUAAACCGACUGUCCUUUUUUGGUGCCAGUUUUCUCAUCUGCAGAAAGAAUAUCAUUGAACAUAACUAAAUAAAUUUUUACUAAACACUUCUUCCUGUUUACAGGUACCAUGCUACUUAUUGCAGGUAAUGAAAUAACAGGUGACAAACUGCUUUGCAAUGCGUUAAGCACUGGGUAAAUACAGUCCUACAUAAUGGGGAAAUGCUAUACUUGGAGAAAAAUAUUUUCUAAAAUGAUGUAAUUUUCCUUCCUAAGAGCACUUCAGUUAAUAAUUAAGGACACUGGAGUCAUAAUCGUAAUUUCAUUUAUAACUUCAUAGUUUCAUUUAGCCCAAGUUGUAGAAAGUUUAAAUUAAUACUGAUUCACCUUUGGGUGAAUUCUAAGGUCAUAAGCCAUUGCCUUUAUUUAUUUAUUUAUUUUUCUGGAUCUUUUUUUUAGGGCCGCACUCACAGCAUAUGGAGGUUCCUAGGUUAGGGGUCGAUUGGGAGCUGUAGCCACUGGCCUGCGCCACAGCCACAGAAAUGCCAGUUCCAAGCCGCAUCUGCCACCUACACCACAGCUCACAGGAAGGACAGAUCCUUAACCCACUGAACAAGGCCAGGGACUGAACCUGCAUCCUCGUGGAUACUGGUCAGAUUCGUUUCUGCUGAGCCAUGACAGGAACUCCAACCAUUGCCUUUAUACUUUGAAACUAUAAUAGUCUUAUUCAUUUACUGAGGAAUCAUUUCUUUAGAAUUAUUUUUCUCGUAUUUCUGUCUUUUGUGCUGGUUUUCUUUUAAAACACCAACCUCACACCCUUUCUUCUAGAGUCAUAUACAUGUGCCCAUCCAUGUUCUAAGAAUAAGCUUUUACUUCUGUCAUCCAGACAUUCUGGGUCCCUUUAAAAUUUUUGAUCUUCAUUUAUCGCUCAUAUUGAAAAUGGGAUUUUUCUGCAACAUUUGAAAAUGAUAGAAUUAGUGGGAAAUGGUGAAAGAAAAUGACUAAAACAUUUGGAGGACCCAUGAUUUAUGUUAUGAUUAUAGUCUUUCCGAACAAAUUCUCUGGUGCUGAGGGAUCCGUUAAAGAAAUUGAUUGGGUAAAAUGCUGUAAAAUCUCUGGUGGAAACAGCUGUUUGUAAAUUACAUAUCCAUGUGGCAGUUCAAUUUGUGUUAUAUCUGUAGUAUUUUGUUGAUUUGGAAACCAGGUACACUUAUUAGUCACAUUAGCUUCAGUUACUUUCCUAGCAUCUUCUCUAAUUUUCUUUGUAAUGCAGACCAAGAGUAGAGUUCAAGGACUUGCUUGGGAUGGUGGAGAGAGGAGGAAAAUGGAGACCCAGGGUGGUGAGGGGACAGGGGUAAUGGGUAGUUUUGAGAAGAAAGACUAUGUGUAAAAAUCAAGCUAUAAAUUUUUUUUGGCUAUUCAUCAACUUAACCAAUUAUUUGCUGUUUUAUUCAACUCAAAAUAGUGCAUUCAAUCUUGAAAGUAAACAUUAGCUCUUCUAAAUGAAAUUUUAAGUGCAACAGACUAGACAUUGAAAAGCAUUUCUAUAGUUAAAGUUUAUUUUACUCUCUGUGCUCAGAUGAUGAUACCUUUCCUGUGAUGCAGAAGUGCUUACAUCUCUGUUACCUUUAAUGUGAGCUAAGUAUAUGGCCUCGUUAACCACAUAUGUAAGCUUCACUUUUAUUUAUUUAUCUUUUGUCUUUUUAGGGCUGCAUCCCAGCAUAUGGAGUUUCCCAGGCUAGGGGUCAGCUUCACUUUUCUGAAAUUCAACUUACUUAUCUACAAAAUGAGAGUGAACGCCACUUCUACUGCUGAAAUUAUAUAAUACAGUCAUCAUAUUUAAAUAAUCAAUGAUCGAAUCAUUUAAAAUUAAGCAUGGUGGGAUUGAAAUGCUUCAGAAUCCUCUCAAAUCUGUCAAAUUGUAUUUGAACAUUUUGAUACAUUUUAAAUCUUUCAUUUUUCCUUCGAAGAAAUCAGGAUAAUUUUUAUUGUUAAAUUUUUAUUGUUAAAUUUUAUUGUUAAUUUUUAUUGAUAUUUUUUAUUGUUAAACUUGUGACAUAGACAGGCAGAAUAUAAUUCAUGUCUCCUAUUUUUUCUUUAACUUGCUUCAUAGUCAGUAUGUUUGUCAUUGUGAAACUGUACUGUAUAUGCAAUUGGUCAUGUUUCUAUAUUAACUGUCUUACCAAACUUUUCCCCCUCAAGGAGGUGUUGCUGUUAUUAUAAUAAUUGUUGCCCUAAUUCUAGCCAAAGGUUUCUGGCACUAUGGAAAAUCAGGGUGAGCAGAAAUUCUGAUGAUUUUAAAAAAUUUAUUCUUAGCUUCCUUCCAGUAAAACCUGAUACAUGCCAGUAGAUAACUUUCUUAUGUUAAUUGUAUUUUUUGACUAUCUCUUUAUUCCUUUUGUCUAUGAUUACUAUUCUGGUUGAACAGGCUUGAUGUCUUUUAAAAGUUUUCAAAAAAUGUCUCAAUAUUAAGUCAUCUGAAAACCAAAGUCUCAUUUGGCAAUCUGCUAAUCAACUCACCUCUUUUUCCUACUCAGUACGUUUUAUGAGAGUGACUGUGUGUCAUACAGAAGCAAAAAGAAAAUCUAGGAGAAGAACCUCUAACAUAUUGUUAAACUGCCUGUGACUGGGCCUAUUACUAAAUUGCCUUUUAUUUUAAGCAUCCUGGUCUAGCCAAAGUCAGCCCAGUGUUGAACCACUAAAUGGUUCAGGUUUUUACUAAAAAUAUUGGACCAUUAGGUCCUGGUUUUAUUUAUUUAUUUUUGUAGUAAAUAGUUUUUACAGAUUUGCUCCCGAUAACAUAUGCUAGAUGCUAUAAUAGCAAAUGAAAUAUAAGGAGAAAUAUAACUUUCUCUUUAGAUUUUUCAGAAACUUUUUAAGAAUGCAAUUUAGAGCCCAGUAUAAACAGACAGAAUUCUAAGUCAUAUAAAGUGAGUUAAGUUGGUGCAAAUGCCUCAGCAAAAUUACUCUGAAAAAAAGAGUAAACCACCAGUCUUAUGCACUUCCUUAUAUUUGGUCUCGCUCUCCUUUGGAAUUGGAGCAUUAUUGAUUCACUCUGGGGCUCCUUGGCUGACGUGGGUGGAGUAUGAGGUGGGUGAGGAGUUUACAGGCAGCUGUGUCUUGGUUAUCAUCAGGUUUUUUUUAGCUACUUUGGUAGAAUGAUAUUUGGCCAUGAUAUUUUUAAUAGGAUCAAAAGUGCUGACAUAGAGAGGAGGGAAGAUUUGCUUUGUAUUUUAUUAUGGUUUUGCAGUAAAACCAAUUCUUCUGUUUCUGAAUCAGAGGAAAUUCAUGCAAACCCCCGAGAAAGAUUUUGUCUUUUUCAUGGGUACUUAAAAAUAUCCCACUAGCCUUAAUUUUGGAAGUAUAAGCUGUUGAGGGUAGGAGCUAAAUUUAUAUAUUCCUGUUAUUCUCCCUACUUCUUACUGAUUUUAUUAAAAAUUUGAUCUUAAUGAGAUAGGGGAAAGUUAAUGGGUGUGAAGGUGAUAAUGUAUACUUUUACCCAGUGAUCCUUUGUGUUUACCUAUCAAAGGAUUUGUUUAUGCCUUUUAGAAGUGUUGGGUGUAUACGAUAAAUUUUAGUUUUAAAUAUGAAUGUGAUAGUAAGCAUUGCUAAUAUUGCUUUUUUAUUGAAAUUAAGCUUUUAUUUUUCAAUUAGUAUUUUCUUCUCCACUAUUCAGCUCUUACCACACUCAUGAGAACAACAAAGCCGUUAAUGUUGCAUUUUAUAAUUUACCUGCGACUGGCGAUGCCGCAGAUGUAAGACCUGGUAAUUAACAAAAGGACGUGCAUGUGUAACACUGACAGUUUUGCUUAUGGUGCUAGUAACCAUUGGCUAGCUGACUUAGCCAAAGAAGAGUUAAGAAGAAAGUGCACACAAGUACACAGAAUAUUUUCAGUUUCUUAGAACUUUCAGGUGGAGUGGACAUAGUUUGUGGAUAGUGUUCUUCGUUUUGCAUGUUUUCAUUGUCUCUAAGGUACAUAGGAAUGUCACAGAACCAAAGAGAAACAAAUCUAUCCUGAAAUUACAUCCUCAACACUCCUAAGACUCUUGAAAAUAGAACAGCUCAUAAGAUUGAGAGCAAUUACUUUCCAAAAAGGGUGAGAAAAUGGAGAGAUUUGUUCAUGGUUAGAAUAUAAGAAAAAAGAAAACAAAAAGGUGAUUUUUCCCACCAAAUGUGUAAUGUUAUUUUUAUUAAUAAAGGAAAUAAAAAAAUUAAAAACAUUGAAUAUUGAAAACAGAUUCCCCACCCCCCCAAAAAAAACCAACAAAACUAAAACCAGUCUCAUCUAAGGAAAAUUGAUGAAGAGAGAUGAAAUACAUUAUAAAAUGGUCUUUCUUGAAAAGCAUUUUCAUCUUUUCUUAUUUCAUUAAAAUGAGUCCAAAUCAGUUGGCAACAUAUUUUAAAAGAAAAACAUGAUAAUGACCCAAGAAUAUUGAGUUUCUUGGGCUACUGGCAAAGGAGGAGUACAAAAUGACGGCAUAAUUCUUCUUUUGUCCCCACACACAAAUAGUGAAUUACCCCCUUACUUAUCAUUUUGUUCUUAGGGUAUUUUUUUGAGGGGGGUUAGGAGAAGCCCUGUGAAAGGGCAAAAGGUAUCUUUAUUGACUUAAUAUCUUUAAAAGUAUCCAGAGAUAUUGUAAUAUCAAUAUAAGAAAAGAUUCUAUAUUUCUGAAGUGAGAUGUUCAUAGCCAAAUUGUAAAUCUUAUUCUUUUGUAAUAUUAAGAUUAACUUAUAUUUAUUUAUGUCAGUAAAUACAUUAGUUGUACUUGUAUACCAAAAACGUUCAAGAAGAUAUGUAAAGAAAAAUUUAUUUUCCCUAAAUAGGAAUAAAUAAUUGAUUUUUGUCUCAUGUGA